rnacentral:sRNA from 1 species
GUAAAUGUAAAUCACUAUACCCGCGCCGUAUAAGUUCAUUUGUUUGAGCAAGUCACACCAGGCCUGGAACUUAUCGGCAUUAUUUCAGGGCAUAGUGGUGGAAUUACCUGGUCUAGUGGCAUACCACACUGCUAAGGGUUCACAAAUGUAAAAGACACUUUGCACCUUAUUGAUGGCAUUAUGGUACAACAGACAGUCCUGGUAAAACAGCUUUUCUUUUAAAGGAUCUAGCAAGUGAAAGAUCUCGUGGCGGUAGAACUUAGCCAAGGGUUGGGAAUGGGGUGUGCGUAGUUUAGUCUUUUGUUCAAUUACCCCCGUUUUACCAAAGUAUGGUUUGAGAAAACGCCUUCUUUUAGGGCUAAUGUAACAGUAAAAGGCGCUCACAAUCAUGUCAUGGCCAAAGUGAGCAGCUACGCGUUGAAAAGCGUUAGCUAGAAAAUAAUCAUCGCUGUCUAAUACAGUAAUGUACUGACCCUUAGCUAACUGGUUUUGUUUGAC